AUGGCCAUGGCACCGAGAGCGUUGCUCCUCCUGGCCGUUGGGCUCAUGGUCGUGGCCUCGGCGAGCGCCCACGGCGGCUACGGGUCGUGCCCCAGGGACGGGCUGAAGGUGAAGGCGUGCGUGAACGUGCUGGGCCUGCUCAAGGUCAAUGUCAACCAGCCGCGCGACGAGCACUGCUGCUCGCUCCUCGACGGGCUCGUCGGUCUGGACGCGGCGCUCUGCCUCUGCACAAAUCUCCAUGCCAAUGUGCUCGGCCUCAACCUCAACCUCCCCGUCGACCUACGCCUCAUUCUCAACAACUGCGGCAAGGUCUGCCCCACCGAUUUCCAGUGCCCACACCACUAG
rnacentral:rRNA from 1 species